ACUCACAUCUAAUCCACAACAGUGCUUUACUAGUCAGCCCUCGGGUCCUUAGUUUCCUUAGUAGCCUCUUGUUAGGGACUUUGUCCAAAGCCUUUCUGCAUGUCUAUAUGAAUUAUGUCAACCAGUUCUCCCUUAUUCACCAGUCUGUUGACCUGUUCCCAAGAGUCUGUUAUAGAGAUGUGAAUUUCCUUUACAGAAACCGCCUUGGCUCAUCUGUAUCAUAUCAAGUAGUUGUUACAGAUUUCUAUUUUAAAUAAUCUCUUCAUUCAGCCUGCCCAGCGCUUAAUUAAGCCUUGCUGAUUUGCAAUAUGCAGGAUGAACAUUUCCAAAGAGGCAGCCUUGGAGGCUUCCCAUAGAGCAGCUGAUUUGAGCAGGAUUAUCACUUUUUUGUCAGUUGCUCGGCCACGUCUUUCUCACUGCAGGAAAAAAAGAAAUUGUUCCUAAGGCGGAGCAAGCGGAAACCAAUACAAUUAAAUACUUUGCUUUGCCUGCCAAGGACAUUUGACUGCUACUGUGCUACAUCAGACAGCUCUUUGAGUCUAUCACUGCGAGAUGCUUCCUUUGCACCUCGGACUACUUCUGUGGCUCUUUACAAGGACAACGUUCAUAUCAGAAUUCCAUGCAGUGCUGACUCCCGUCCUGGCUUUGCAUAAGGGUGGAAAUACCCUUCCUGGUGCUAUGUGCUGCCUUAGAGGACAGCAGGGGACCUCCAGCCAAACCCCCAUGUGACGGCCUGUUUUGAAGCAUUAUCCAGCAUGACCCCUCUGGCCUUCUCAAGGUCCUUUCCAGGAUUUUGCACUCCUGAUUCCCAUGUAAGGUUGCAUUCUACUGACUUCUCUAUGCCGUGGAGCAAGCUCAUUGUCCCUGACCAUGGAUAUAUUAGUAUGGGUGGAGUGCAUUGUACUCCGAUGAUACUUCUAUGCUAGCAAAUGCCUUUUUAAUACCAAUGUAAGUACUUACCACAGCUCUAGACCUUCCUGUUGUGGCAAAUAAUCUCCAUUUCUUAGGACUGCAUCUCUGUUGGAUCUCACUUUCCCCUGGCAUUUCCCUUUCCAUAGUCACACUGUGCCCCUUGUGGUGUGCUGUUUGGGAAUCUUCUGAGAAAAGGUGCUAUAUAAAUGCAAAACAUUGUCAUUGUUUGUCGUGGCACCCCCUGUUGUAUCUGCUUUCCUUCUGCUAAUUGAUUAGCUGUUGUCUAGACUGGAGCUCAUUACAUGGAGUGCUGAGGCUCAGCAUCAUUUACUUUGCAGCUAAGUCAAUCUGUGAAACAAGUGGUAGGCUCCGAAUUGGAUAAGGAACAGGUUCUUUAGAUGUAAAUGGCUUAGAAAGGGAAAAUAAAAGCUGAACUAGGUAAUGAACGGAAAUGGAACGGCCAUCCUCGAAUCCACAAAUACCAUUGACCUUUCUCAGAUUUACAUCAUUAUCUAAAGUUCACCAGAGACCUUGCAUGCUUGUUAUCAUUAUCCCUCAUUAGAAGUCACUCUAGAAACAUUAACAAGCUUCUGAAAUGCUUGGCUAAUUGCUCUAAUAAGGCAAUAUCAAUACUAAGUGAUAGUUCCC
ensembl:lncRNA